AGCCAGCAAACCUAGGAGCCGGGAGAGCGAGCGCCGGGGAGGCAGAAAGGCGGCCGGCGAGCGAGCGCUCCUUCCUCCGGUUCCUCUAGCGCUUUUGCUCUGGGGCGGCGGCCACCCACCCUCUUCCGAACUCCGGAGCCCAGACGCCGGUCUGGGCGCUGCGGGGAUGCGGAGAGAGGAAUCCGAGCCGGCCCUGCAUUCUCCGGACUCGCAGUCCCGGUCGGAAAGGAGGCCUGAGCGGGACCCUGGGAUUGGGGCUGCGGUAGAACAAGCUGGGGGAGUGCGGCGGGAGCAGGAAAAAGAGAAGGCAUCCGGAGGAGGUGGCACCUGAUACCCUCUUGCCCCUUGCCCCCUUUUUACUCCAGCCACGCUGGUCCCUCCCCGAACUCGUUGCCAGCUUGUCUUUGCACUUGCCAGUCCUUCUGCCUGGAACUCCCUCCCCACUAUGCAUCCCUCCCCACCCCACCAUCUGAACAACCCUUCAACUCCCGGUGCCACUCAAGUGCCACUUCCUCCCAGACCAAGGUAGAUACGGUCCCUCCCCCUCCUCAUCCACACACGCACUUGUUUUCUUUAACUCCUCCCACUGUCUGGAAUGAGGUUGCUAUUCGUGCUUCUUUACUGUCUAGUUUCCCCACUAGAAAGGGAGCUGCUCCCAGGGGGCCAAGGCAGGCCUCCCUCAGAUGCCCUUGAACCCAGGGCCUGGUAGGCACUGCGGCUGCACAGUCGUUAUUUGUUGAAUGACUGAAAUUGUGUGAGCUGGAGAAUUCUCCCCCACCUCCUUCCCUUGGGGCCCCAAUAGCUCCUCCAUCUCUGAUACCCUAGAGCCAACACCGUUUGACCUUUCCCACCCGCCCUCACCUGGUGGCAUCUGAGGAGUGUGCAGCUGGCCAGCUGGCGCUGCAUCCAGUCACCUCUGAGCAUCUGUGCCUGAGACCCCACCAGACACUCCUGGCCUGUUCUCCCCUCCCCUCAUUCACUCAUCCCACGUGACCCUGAGCUGCCUGCUUGGGGCCCAGCUCGCACUGGACAAGGCACACAGGUGCCCCAGACAACUCAGAACCCGCUGUGGGACCUUAAGUGAACCGCUGGUCUUCACAGCCUCGGCUGCUUCAUCUGUAAAAAUGGGAGCAAAAUAACACUUGACCCAGAGUGGCAGUGAGGACCACGGGAUAAACCUCAGUCCUGCCUCCUUCCUUCCCUGGGGCUGCCCCAAGGAGGCAAACGCACAGACCAGUGCUUCCCCAGAUGCUGGGCUCGAUGGGGGGCAACUACAGGGAGUUUGAGACGAAAGGCAAGGGGCUGAGUUUGGACACGAGGGUUUCCUUUGAGGGGAGGGCUCUGGCUAAGCCUCACUUCGGGGAGGCAGAAGGCUCCCGGGCUGGUGAGGAGGAACCUGCUCUUCUGAAGGUUUCUGGAGCAGAGGUGGUUCUGCCAUGCAGCCCUCUGGGAGCUUUUGGAUAAGACGGCAGCCUGAGGGGCCACAUGGGAGAGGCCGGAGGCCAGGCGAAGAGAAGAGGGCCACAGGCUGCAGGUCCUGGCACUCGAGUCACAUCCUGGCCCUGGUUCACACGCCCAGGCUGUGAGAUGAAACGGGUCCUGCGCCUCUGCCCACCUGUCAGUCAAGGCACCGUGAAAGCGCCCCCACCUGCCCUUUGUCCAUUAACUCCUUCCUUCCACAAAGGUUUCCCGAGCACUUCCUGGGUGUCAGGCAGGGUGGGCUGCACAGGCAUGUGACCUGGGCAGGUGCCUGGCAGAGCCCCACUCUUGCCUCAUGCUCUGCUGUUGCCAUGUUUCAGCUCUUGAUAAUCUAUGAACAGAGGGUCCCUGCUUUCAUUUUGCACUGAGCCCUGCAAAUUGUGCGGCCCAUCCCGGGGCCAAGCGCAGUGCUGGGCUGGGGAGUACCGCUGAGUAAGCACACAGUGGCCUCCGUCGCGAGCUGGCUUUCCAGCCAGGCCAGACAAAGCAGGAAACUUAAACAUGGCUUGGGGGUAGGAGCGGACUGCCCAUUGUCCAUUGACUCUCUCCGGAUGGACAGGCAGGGCUUCCACACUCAUCUGCCAGAGCUGAGCGGAGCAGGUCCCCCGGGAGGGUCGCGGGGGAAGGACCCAGGAUAGUGUCUGUGGAGGGUGAGCACUAACGCAGAGAGCUGCUGAGGCAGCCGGAGGAGCUCUGGCUGGUCCGGGGUCCACGGGAGAGCGUGCAGCCCGGAUCAUUUCAGCCCGCGAUGUGUGACAGGAGUAAAUAAACAGGGAGCGGUGGUGGGAGGCGGGAGGAGGAUCUCCUGGAGCACAUGCCAUUGACCCGAGUCCUGGGAGGACCAGGAAGGGAGGCUUUCCCAGGGAAAGGCAUCCUAGGCAGAGUGAGGAACAGGCACCGGGCUCCGUCCACCCAGAGCUGCCUGUGCCCCCGGGGCUGGCUUCCGGGGACCAGGCCACUGCAAGUGCUAGGCUACCUCCAGCCAGCUGAGAGGAAGGGGUGCCUUUCCUCCAAAGUCUAAAAUACCAUGGUCCUGCCCUCUCUGCUUUUUAAUCCACUGUGAAAUAUGGGGGGGGGGGGAUUUUAAGAAGCUGUGGGUGGGGGCCACAGGUAUAGGUGCCCCCCGUCUCCAUCUGAAAACACCUGAUUGGUCAGCAUCUGCCCUGCAACAAGAAUUAUAGUUUACCCCUCUCUGCAUCUCAUUUGAGCCUGGCACACGGCAGGGGCUCCGUAAGCCCUGUUGAAUGAGUAGUAAUGGGCACGGCCCAUACCUAAACAGCAUAGUGGAUGGAGGGCUGACUGUGCAAGCGCCAGGCCGAGGCCUCUCGCAGAGCCCUCCCAGCGCCACCCUCCCUCUGGAUGACAUCUUUUCUCAUGUGAGAUGGAGACAAAAUGCUCUCCAAGUCUGAGACCCAGGAGAAACAAGGUUCCCAGUGAGUCCCCACCACCCACUAUUGAGCCUUAUCUUUCCUGUGUCCAUGGGGGAGGGAGAUUCUUUAUUUUCCCCAAGACUCCACAGGCACCCAGUGAGUGCUUGCUUGAUUGCUGAAUGAAUGCCUGCAUGCAAACCAGAGUAUCUGGCUGGGGGUUCCCACUGUGGCUCAGCAGGUUAAGAAUCCCACUAGUAUCCAUGAAGAUGUGGGUUCAAUCCCUGGCCUCACUCAGUGGGUUAAGGAUCGGGCACUGCUGUAAGCUGCGGCACAGCUCAUGGUUGCAGCUGGGAUCUGGCGUGGCUGUGGCGUAGGCCGGCAGCUGCAGCUCAGAUUUGACCCUUAGCCUAGGAACCUCCAUAUGCUGUAGGUACGGCUGGGUUUAAAAAAGAAAAAAAAAGAAAAAAAAAA
rnacentral:lncRNA from 1 species